rnacentral:rRNA from 1 species
GUGGGGAAUAUUGGACAAUGGGGGGAACCCUGAUCCAGCCAUGCCGCGUGUGUGAAGAAGGCCUUUUGGUUGUAAUGCACUUUAAGCGAGGAGGAGGCUACCGAGAGUAAUACUCUUGGAUAGUGGACGUUACUCGCAGAAUAAGCACCGGCUAACUCUGUGCCAGCAGCCGCGGUAAUACAGAGGGUGCAAGCGUUAAUCGGAUUUACUGGGCGUAAAGCGCGCGUAGGUGGCCAGUUAAGUCAAAUGUGAAAUCCCCGAGCUUAACUUGGGAAUUGCAUUCGAUACUGGUUGGCUAGAGUAUGGGAGAGGAUGGUAGAAUUCCAGGUGGAGCGGUGAAAUGCGUAGAGAUCGGGAGGAAUACCGAUGGCGAAGGCAGCCAUCUGGCCUAAUACUGACACUGAGGUGCGAAAGCAUGGGGAGCAAACAGGAUUAGAAACCCCAGUAGUCC